AUGGCAACUGUAGUGCCCUUUGCUUCCUGUUAUGGAAACAGCACUCUCCAUCAGCCUCUCCAACUAUUUGGGAAGGGCCCCAAGUGUGGUUACAUGUCCCUCAUCGCCUACCGCGGCCCUCGUAAUGACCCCCACCCACGUCUGGCAUGCAAUACUCCUAAGUUGACCCUACGUCAGAUCUACAGAAUGCUGUGUGUGAUGCGUUAUGAGGCUGCUGCUGCAGCCAACAAGAGGAAGCAAGCAUCUUCUCCUCCACCACCCGGUUCUCCGACCAGGUCAGACAGGAGAUGUCUGCCUUCCUGCUUUCGUCGUAGACGUAUUACUCCUAACAUAAAAAGAUUUGGAUGAUAAUAGCACCUUAAGAGUCCCCCCCCCCCCAUUGGGAGCUACGAUUAAUUUGGGGAUGAGCCCCCUUUACGUCUCCACACAAACCAGUACAUAGGGGCACAGACACCAGGACACUCCUGAGACACAGCACACCUGUAUUUUUCCAUCUGGAGGGGUCAGAAGUGGAGUAGUGACUGAUAGACUUAGCUUCAUGUUAGAGCCCAGUGGGCAAUGAUUCACCAUUGAUUCAGAAGAUCUACUAUUUUUUCCUUUCUCUAUGGCAACCACAGUGAUUUUUUUUGUCCUAUAUAUGUAAUUUCAGCAGGUGAGACUCACCUUUGCUCACUGCACAGGUCCGACAGUAAAUAAACCUGUGGAAAGUUACCAGCGGUCAGGAAAGGGGACUUAACUUUUUCAUGUUCCUCUGGUGUGGGCUGGGGGGUUAGGUGUUGGGUUGUUGUCUUUUUUAGGUGUGUUGAAAUCUGGGUGUACAUUGCUAAAUGAAAGGUGUAAUUGACUUACAUUUGCACUGUGAAGAUUUAAUAAAGCUUUGACUGUUUAGAUCAACUUAACUCGUCUGUUGUAUUUUGCUGUUAAAGGUUUGUGUUUCUGCGACCAUUUUAUCAAAUAGAUUACUGUCCAUUGAAGUGUAUACUCUGGGUUACAUAGAAUGACACUGUAUUUACAAAGUAACA
rnacentral:lncRNA from 8 species